AGCCCCGUGGUGUAGUGGUCAAGCAUCCGGGCCUUUGGAGCCCGUGACGUCGGUUCGAAUCCGGCCGGGGCUACCA
rnacentral:tRNA from 1 species